rnacentral:rRNA from 1 species
AACAGGAUUAGAUACCCUGGUAGUCCACGCCGUAAACGAUGUCGACUUGGAGGUUGUGCCCUUGAGGCGUGGCUUCCGGAGCUAACGCGUUAAGUCGACCGCCUGGGGAGUACGGCCGCAAGGUUAAAACUCCAAUGAAUUGACGGGGGCCCGCACAAGCGGUGGAGCAUGUGGUUUAAUUCGAUGCAACGCGAAGAACCUUACCUACUCUUGACAUCCAGAGAACUUUCCAGAGAUGGAUUGGUGCCUUCGGGAACUCUGAGACAGGUGCUGCAUGGCUGUCGUCAGCUCGUGUUGUGAAAUGUUGGGUUAAGUCCCGCAACGAGCGCAACCCUUAUCCUUUGUUGCCAGCGAUUCGGUCGGGAACUCAAAGGAGACUGCCAGUGAUAAACUGGAGGAAGGUGGGGAUGACGUCAAGUCAUCAUGGCCCUUACGAGUAGGGCUACACACGUGCUACAAUGGCAUAUACAAAGAGAAGCGACCUCGCGAGAGCAAGCGGACCUCAUAAAGUAUGUCGUAGUCCGGAUUGGAGUCUGCAACUCGACUCCAUGAAGUCGGAAUCGCUAGUAAUCGUGGAUCAGAAUGCCACGGUGAAUACGUUCCCGGGCCUUGUACACACCGCCCGUCACACCAUGGGAGUGGGUUGCAAAAGAAGUAGGUAGCUUAACCUUCGGGAGGGCGCUUACCACUUUGUGAUUCAUGACUGGGGUGAAGUCGUAACAAGGUAACC